GACGAACGCUGGCGGCGUGCCUAACACAUGCAAGUUGAGCGACGAACCAGGGCUUGCCCUGGGGCAAAGCAGCGAACGGGUGAGUAACACGUGGGUAACCUACCCCGAUAACCGGGACAACCCGAGGAAACUCGGGCUAAUACCGGAUGUGCUCACUGGACUUCGGUUCAGUGCGUAAAGGAAGCUUCGGCCUCCGUAUCGGGAGGGGCCCGCGGCCCAUUAGUUUGUUGGUGAGGUAACGGCUCACCAAGACCGCGAUGGGUAGCUGGUCUGAGAGGACGAGCAGCCACACUGGGACUGAGACACGGCCCAGACUCCUACGGGAGGCAGCAGUGGGGAAUCUUGCGCAAUGCGCGAAAGCGUGACGCAACAACGCCGCGUGGGGGAAGAAGGCCUUCGGGUUGUAAACCCCUUUCAGGAGGGACGAAGGUUCGGCGGUGAAUAGCCGUCCGGACUGACGGUACCUCCACAAGAAGCCCCGGCUAACUACGUG
rnacentral:rRNA from 1 species